GUCCUAGCCGUAAACGGUGCACGUUUGCUGUAAAAGGAAUCGACCCCUUUUGUGGCGAAGCUAACGCGUUAAACGUGCCGCCUGGGAAGUACGGUCGCAAGAUUAAAACUCAAAGAAAUUGACGGGGGCCUGCACAAGCGGUGGAGUAUGUGGCUCAAUUCGAUGCAACGCGAAGAACCUUACCUGGCCUUGACAUGUACGUAGUAGAAGGGUGAAAGCCUGACGAGGUAGCAAUACCAGCGUACACAGGUGCUGCAUGGCUGUCGU
rnacentral:rRNA from 1 species